ensembl:lncRNA
CCUCAACCCAAGGUCCCAUCGCACCAAGGGAUAAAAGCCCACACAGGAUUCCAGCGAGAACCAGACUCCCACCCUCACCAUGCUCUCUUAUCUCCAUACAGUGGCCACAACUCAUCCACAGGCACUGGCCCACCUGUCCUUACCUGGCCCUGAAGCCUGACAUUCCAUUUCACAGCUUUUGUUCCAUGUCGUUUGGAGAGUGAGUACUAACGGAGACUGGGGGUAGGAGCUGAAGCCCCCAGAGCCACCCCUUAACACUGACCCUGCUUGGCUUGGGUUUAGUUGCACCACAAGGACUGAGUGAGUGAGAACACAGCCCCCCUGGCUGCAGUGAAUGAGGAAUGUUGCAACAACAUCUGGAGCCGCCCCCAGCGGAAGACUGCAGAGAGGCGGUGGCAGCGAUGACAGCUCAGAACGCAGCCCCCUCGCCGUGUGGACAUCCACGCAUCCACCAGCGCACAGACUAUGUGCAUGUGGCCAUGUCUACGUGUCCACAUGCGCACAUGAGCAGACAUGUAGCUCCGGCUCCAUCCAGACUCAGCCAUGCAGCCAGGCGGGAAGCAGGCAGCCAGAGAGAACAGAGCUCCCCAGACCAGAAGUGGGCGUCCGCCCAAUGGUGCAGCGUGGUCACAGAGGCCAGAAGGCACAGGGGCAAGUCUGUGUCCCUGAGGCCCCUCGCCCCUCACCUGGCAGCAGGCGGAGGAUCUUCAGAACCAAUGGACAAUGGGGAAACCUCGCAUUUUAUUCCCUCUGUGCCCCUGCAUCUUCUGCGGGUCUCCUUGAGGGCUCCUCGCCUGGACCCUCUCCCUGCACACAGCUUCUCCUUGCACUUGACUAACCAAGGAUGGCUGCUACCCCACUCCUGAGCUCAAAGUACCUCAUUUCCAAAGACUAGCCAGGACUGACCAGCACCAGUGGUUCCAUGACUAUGAGAGAGGAAAUAUGAGUGGUGAAGCUGGGGUCAGUUAUCAACUUGUGGCCCAAUCACCAAUGACUGGGAGCGGAGUCACAUGGAAACAUGGCUGCCAAGCCCCACCCCUGGGUAUGCCCAGCAGUUCUCAGACAGAAGAUCUCAAGUCAGUUCAGUGCCCCGCAGGGUGAAUGAGGUACCCAGGGUCAGCAGGUAAGGAGUCCUACUGGUGCUGGAUGUACAGGCCUGGGUCUCAAGGAUGCAGAUGGCAGUAGGUGCUAUGGAUUGAACUGUAUUCUUGUCCAAUGUACUGAAUUCAUCGGGUGAAUGCUGACUCUCAAUGUGGCUAUAUGUAGAGAUGGGAAGUAAUUAAAGUUAAAUGAAGUCCUCAGGGCGGGACCCCCAUAGACCAGAAACUUGAUCUGGGACUUCUAGCCUCCUUAACUAUG